rnacentral:snRNA from 1 species
CCAAUUGUAAUUUAGAUAUAUU